GGUACCUGACUAAGAAGCCCCGGCUAACUACUUGCCAGCAGCCGCGGUAAUACGUAGGGGGCAAGCGUUAUCCGGAUUUACUGGGUGUAAAGGGAGCGUAGACGGCGUGGCAAGUCUGAUGUGAAAGGCAUGGGCUCAACCCCUGGACUGCAUUGGAAACUGUCAUUCUUGAGUGCCGGAGGGGUAAGCGGAAUUCCUAGUGUAGCGGUGAAAUGCGUAGAUAUUAGGAGGAACACCAGUGGCGAAGGCGGCUUACUGGACGGUAACUGACGUUGAGGCUCGAAAGCGUGGGGAGCAAACAGGAUUAGAUACCCUGGUAGUCCACGCCGUAAACUAUGAAUACUAGGUGUCGGGGAGCAUAGCUCUUCGGUGCCGCCGCAAACGCAUUAAGUAUUCCACCUGGGGAGUACGUUCGCAAGAAUGAAACUCAAAGGAAUUGACGGACGG
rnacentral:rRNA from 1 species